UUACUUGAUGGAUGGGAGAGAUUCCAUGACCAUGAAGGUGGUGCUCUCGAGGUGAGUCCUGUCCAUUAUGCACUGGUUUGGUUGAUCCAUGCAAUUUCCCAAAAUGUGUGAAAGUCGACCUAUCACUUACGUUAUGCAAUGU
rnacentral:snRNA from 1 species